ACCACCAUUGGCCAGCUCAGAAUGUUUUUUUUUUAAUUUAAAUAUCUUAGAGGUUAUUGGGAUUUGAAUGAUGGCUAGAGGAGAUGGUCACAGUUGUGGUACUGGACUACUUGAAUCUUAAGUAAAGCUAUUCAAAGAACUCUGCUGGUCAAAUAUAUCUGUGUGCAUUAUGAAUAACUGCAGGCUCAGGUGAAGGGAAAGUGAUGCUUUCCUCUGCCAGGAUGUGGGGUGUGAGCAAGGCUGGGAUUAAAAAACAUGGGGAAAGUGUUCAACAGGGGGCCCUAGAUGAACAUCACUCCAUCAGGAUGCUCACCCACACUUUUUACUAAAAGCAGUGGAAUAUGUCAGACUCUGGAGCUUUCUAAUUAUGCCCCAUAACAUCUUGCUGCUGUGUGCUCUGCUAUAAGUUCAGGUGACCUCCCAUGUACAGUGGUGCUGGCUAAUUUAAUAAUAUUGCCUUUCCAACAUCAAAUUAUUUUCAAACAAACUCAUCUUAAAUUUUCUUAUCAACUACUGGUUGCCCAUACUACUGUCUAGUUCAAGACUGGCAUCUUAUUAUAAGCCAUAAUUGCCUCUACUUAAUUGUCUUGCAUUGACUAAAUCCAUCUUUCAUGUGCAAAAGGGCAUAAGGACUCACAGAUGGUUUACAACUUAAACAAAUUAUGGACUACUUUAAAUACAUUAUAGAUAGAAGGAGAAUGAACUAUUUUUGACAGCUUGUUAGCCUUCUUCUCCUGUAGCAAUGGAGAGCCUAAUGAAUGGGAAAGACUCAAUUUUAGAUGCUGCUUACUAAGUCCUUGUGAAUGAUAUGUAAGGAUGUGAACUAGUUGAUUUCUUCUGCCGUCUUUAUACCCUCCUAUGAGUUUUCUUUCUAAACUGUGCUGGGGAUAAACUGAACCUACAGGCAAAAGCAAUUUAUAAAUACAAGACAAACUAUAAAUGUCACAAACCCCUACAGUACCUUCAGCAUAUCUUUGGAAUUUCUCAGUUCAUCUAAGUGGGCAGAAGCUUGCAAGCUCAAUGGAAAUGUUUGAUUUAAGUUAGUUGCCAGCAUUUGAUAAUAGAAGUUCAACUGAAAUAUGAGUUCUAGGAAGUUUUAGAAAUCAUUACACCUUAAUUCCAUAUAGAAACGAUAGGCUGGAAUGGAGUAGCCCUGAUAAGUUCCUUCUGUGUUAGCUGUGGUAGAAUAAUCGGGUUCCCCCUAAAUGAGACGGAAGGUUGUAUUUGAUGUCGAUGUUUGUAGACCCUCCCUUAAGCCCUCCACCUCAUGUACAUUUUCUGUUUUGGUCCAGCAGACUGUCAAGUUUGUGACCUACUCCAGUGGACAUUGUCACCAUGAAUUCCUAUCCUUACACAAAAUAUUCCCCCUACCAACUCUAUCUGAACUAUUUGUCUUUGAAGCCUGAUUUUCUUUCUUUUAUUUGUUUUUACUUUCUAUCACUACAGUGACCAAACCAAACUGUUUCUUUCUCUAACCAUAUAUAUUAGAAAUAAAUAUAGAUAUUAUAUAUUAAGACUAUAUAGAUAUUAUAUAUUAAGAAUAUAUAUCUCAAAUAUAUAUAUAUUAAAAAGUGAUGUUUGGUGUUGUUUUUCAGAAACAUGUGCAUAUGUGUAUAUUGAUUUCUUUGGAGAGGCAUUUUGGAGAAGUAUUGUCUUUAGUAGUAUAGUUUUAAAUUUUUAGCUUUAAUACAUAUUCAUGAGCCAUACUAGUCUUUUUCAUAACUAGAGCUUUUUAUAAAGUUUGAUUUUAAUAUUUAUCAAUGUCUGAAAAUGCCUUUUAUUUAAGACUUUUGACUCCAUUCAUCUUUACUGAGUUGUUUUAGUAUUUUACUUCUAAAAUAGUAUCUUCAAAUUCUCGGGGCUUAAAUUACCUAUAUUUGAGUGAGUAUAUUGCUUAAUUUUAUGGGCUCUUGAUUUUUAAACG
rnacentral:lncRNA from 1 species